rnacentral:rRNA from 1 species
UACGUAGGGUGCGAGCGUUGUCCGGAAUUAUUGGGCGUAAAGAGCGCGUAGGCGGUCUGUCGCGUCGAUCGUGAAAACUUGGGGCUUAACCCUGAGCUUGCGGUCGAUACGGGCAUGACUGGAGUUCGGCAGGGGAGACUGGAAUUCCUGGUGUAGCGGUGAAAUGCGCAGAUAUCAGGAGGAACACCGGUGGCGAAGGCGGGUCUCUGGGCCGAUACUGACGCUGAGGAGCGAAAGCGUGGGGAGCGAACAGG